GACGAACGCUGGCGGCGUGCUUGACACAUGCAAGUCGAACGAUGAAGCCGGAGCUUGCUCCGGUGGAUUAGUGGCGAACGGGUGAGUAACACGUGAGUAAUCUGCCCCUGACUCUGGGAUAAGCACUGGAAACGGUGUCUAAUACUGGAUACGAGCUGCGAAGGCAUCUUCAGCAGCUGGAAAGAAUUUCGGUCAGGGAUGAACUCGCGUCCUAUCAGUUAGUUGGUGAGGUAAUGGCUCACCAAGACGACGACGGGUAGCCGGCCUGAGAGGGUGACCGGCCACACUGGGACUGAGACACGGCCCAG
rnacentral:rRNA from 1 species